rnacentral:rRNA from 1 species
UACCAGCACCCCGAGUGGUCGGGACGAUUAUUGGGCCUAAAGCAUCCGUAGCCGGCCUUACAAGUCCUCCGUUAAAUCCAGCUGCUUAACAGAUGGGCUGCGGAGGAUACUAUAAGACUAGGAGGCAGGAGAGGCAAGCGGUACUCAGUGGGUAGGGGUAAAAUCCGUUGAUCCACUGAAGACCACCAGUGGCGAAGGCGGCUUGCCAGAAUGCGCUCGACGGUGAGGGAUGAAAGCUGGGGGAGCAAACCGG